rnacentral:rRNA from 1 species
AUGAACGCUAGCGGCAGGCCUAAUACAUGCAAGUCGAACGGUAACAUGAGUAGCAAUACUUGAUGACGAGUGGCGCACGGGUGCGUAACACGUAUGCAACCUACCUUUAACUGGGGAAUAGCUCCGAGAAAUCGGAAUUAAUACCCCAUAACAUUGUGAAGUGGCAUCACUUUACAAUUAAAACUACGGUGGUUAAAGAUGGGCAUGCGCGACAUUAGCUAGUUGGUGAGGUAAUGGCUCACCAAGGCUACGAUGUCUAGGGGAUCUGAGAGGAUUAACCCCCACACUGGUACUGAGACACGGACCAGACUCCUACGGGAGGCAGCAGUAAGGAAUAUUGGUCAAUGGACGAAAGUCUGAACCAGCCAUGCCGCGUGCAGGAUGACUGCCCUAUGGGUUGUAAACUGCUUUUGUACGGGAAAAAAAUUCGAUCGUGAAUCGAAACUGAUGGUACCGUAAGAAUAAGGAUCGGCUAACUCCGU